rnacentral:rRNA from 1 species
AACGAACGCUGGCGGCAUGCCUAACACAUGCAAGUCGAACGAGACCUUCGGGUCUAGUGGCGCACGGGUGCGUAACGCGUGGGAAUCUGCCCUCUGGUUCGGAAUAACUCAGGGAAACUUGAGCUAAUACCGGAUAAUGACUUCGGUCCAAAGAUUUAUCGCCUGAGGAUGAGCCCGCGUCGGAUUAGCUAGUUGGUGAGGUAAAAGCUCACCAAGGCGACGAUCCGUAGCUGGUCUGAGAGGAUGAUCAGCCACACUGGGACUGAGACACGGCCCAGACUCCUACGGGAGGCAGCAGUGGGGAAUAUUGGACAAUGGGCGUAAGCCUGAUCCAGCAAUGCCGCGUGAGUGAUGAAGGCCUUAGGGUUGUAAAGCUCUUUUACCCGGGAUGAUAAUGACAGUACCGGGAGAAUAAGCCCCGGCUAACUCCGUGCCAGCCGCCGCGGUAACAC